rnacentral:lncRNA from 1 species
GGGCGGCCCGCGGGGCGUGGGGCCGCUGCCAGGCAGGUACGAGCGCACGGUGACGGCACCGCCGGGGCCGGCUGGUCCCGUUUGGGGCCGGCUCUUCCCAUCCCAGUCCGGUUGUUCCCGUUUGGGGCUGGUUGUUCCCAUCCCAGUCCGGUUGUUCCCGUUUGGGGCCGGUUCUUCCCAUCCCAGUCCGGCUGUUCCCGUUUGGGGCUGGUUGUUCCUGUCCAGGUCCGGCUGUUCCUGUUUGGGGCCGGUUCUUCCCAUCGCAGUCCGGCUGUUCCCAUUUGGGGCCGGCUGUUCCUGUUUGGGGCCGGUUGUUCCCAUCCCAGUCCAGCUGUUCCUGUUUGGGGCCAGUUGUUCCCAUUUGGGGCCGGCUGUUCUUGUUUGGGGCCGGUUGUUCCCGUCCAGGUCCGGUCGUUCCUGUUGGGGUCCGGCUGUUCCCGUUUGGGGCUGGUUGUUCCCAUCUGGGUCUGACUGUUCCCGUUUGGGGCUGGUUGUUCCCAUCCGGGUCCGGCUGUUCCCUCUGGGGUCCGGUUGUUCCUGCUGGGGGCCAGCUCUUCCUGUCCGGGUCCGCCUGUUCUUUUUUCGGUCCAGCUGUUCCUAUUGGGGGUCGGCUGUUCCCAUUUGGGGCCGGCUGUUCCCGUUUGGGUCCAAUUGUUCCCAUCUGGGUCCAAUUGUUCCUGUUGGGGGUUGGUUGUUCCCAUUUGGGGUCUGGCUGUUCCCAUUUGGGGCCGGCUGUUCCCGUUUGGGGCCAGCUGUUCCCAUUUGGGUCCAAUUGUUCCCAUCCGGGUCCAAUUGUUCCUGUUGGGGGUUGGUUGUUCCCAUUUGGGGUCCGGCUGUUCCCAUUUGGGUCCAGCUGUUCCCAUCCGAGUCCGGCUGUUCCCGUUUGGGUCCGGCUGUUCCCAUUGGGGUCCGGCUGUUGCUGCACACCCUUGGCUCCCCGGUUGCGGCUGUGCCGGAGCCGAACCUCGGUCCCCGCGGCGGCGCCGUGCCCUGACCGCGUCCCUUGUCCCCGCAGCCGCGGCCGCUGUUGGACGCCGGCGCCGAGCCCGACGCGGCCGAGCUGGAGGCCGAGCUGCUGGCGCUGCUGGGGAAACCCCAGGGCCGAGCUCCCGUGCCCAUGGAGGACAUCGAGAAAAUGGCAGCGCUCUGCAUGCGGGACCCGAGCGACGAGGAGGAGGAGGAGGAGGAGGAGGAGGACGAAGACCUGGAGGGCGAGGAGGAGCUGAUGGCGGAGCUGCACCAGGUGCUCGAGGAGGGGGGCUCCGAGCCCCCCGCCCCACAGACCCCACCGGCCCCACAGGCCCCACAGGCCCCACAGGCCCCACAGGCGGAGCCCCCCGGUGCGGGCGGGCAGGGGGCCGUGCUGGAGGAGCGGGCGCGCCUGUACCGGGAAGCGCUGGGCAGCGCCAGGCAGGCGGGGGACGCGGCCCG